rnacentral:rRNA from 1 species
CAGACUUUGAUCCUGGCUCAGAUUGAACGCUNGCGGGAUGCUUUACACAUGCAAGUCGAACGGCAGCGCGAGAGAGCUUGCUCUCUUGGCGGCGAGUGGCGGACGGGUGAGUAAUAUAUCGGAACGUGCCCAGUAGCGGGGGAUAACUACUCGAAAGAGUGGCUAAUACCGCAUACGCCCUACGGGGGAAAGGGGGGGAUCGCAAGACCUCUCACUAUUGGAGCGGCCGAUAUCGGAUUAGCUAGUUGGUGGGGUAAAGGCUCACCAAGGCAACGAUCCGUAGCUGGUUUGAGAGGACGACCAGCCACACUGGGACUGAGACACGGCCCAGACUCCUACNGGAGGCAGCAGUGGGGAAUUUUGGACAAUGGGGGAAACCCUGAUCCAGCCAUCCCGCGUGUAUGAUGAAGGCCUUCGGGUUGUAAAGUACUUUUGGCAGAGAAGAAAAGGUAUCCCCUAAUACGGGAUACUGCUGACGGUAUCUGCAGAAUAAGCACCGGCUAACUACGUGCCAGCAGNCGCNGUAAUACGUAGGGUGCAAGCGGUAAUCGGAAUUUCUGGGCGUAAGCGUGUGUAGGCNGNUCGNAAAAAAGAUGUGAAAUCCCAGGGCUCAACCUUGGAACUGCAUUUUUAACUGCCGAGCUAGAGUAUGUCNGAGGGGGGUAGAAUUCCACGUGUAGCAGUGAAAUGCGUAGAUAUGUGGAGGAAUACCGAUGGCGAAGGCAGCCCCCUGGGAUAAUACUGACGCUCAGACACGAAAGCGUGGGGAGCAAACAGGAUUAGAUACCCUGGUAGUCCACGCCCUAAACGAUGUCAACUAGCUGUUGGGGCCGUUAGGCCUUAGUAGCGCAGCUAACGCGUGAAGUUGACCGCCUGGGGAGUACGGUCGCAAGAUUAAAACUCAAAGGAAUUGACGGGGACCCGCACAAGCGGUGGAUGAUGUGGAUUAAUUCGAUGCAACGCGAAAAACCUUACCUACCCUUGACAUGUCUGGAAAGCCGAAGAGAUUUGGCCGUGCUCGCAAGAGAACCGGAACACAGGUGCUGCAUGGCUGUCGUCAGCUCGUGCCGUGAGAUGUUGGGUUAAGUCCCGCAACGAGCGCAACCCUUGUCAUUAGUUGCUACGCAAGAGCACUCUAAUGAGACUGCCGGUGACAAACCGGANGAAGGUGGGGNAUGACGUCAAGUCCUCAUGGCCCUUAUGGGUAGGGCUUCACACGUCAUACAAUGGUCGGGACAGAGGGUCGCCAACCCGCGAGGGGGAGCCAAUCUCAGAAACCCGAUCGUAGUCCGGAUCGCAGUCUGCAACUCGACUGCGUGAAGUCGGAAUCGCUAGUAAUCGCGGAUCAGAAUGUCGCGGUGAAUACGUUCCCGGGUCUUGUACACACCGCCCGUCACACCAUGGGAGUGGGUUUCACCAGAAGUAGGUAGCCUAACCGUAAGGAGGGCGCUUACCACGGUGGGAUUCAUGACUGGGGUGAAGUCGUAACAAGCUAACCGUA